rnacentral:sRNA from 1 species
CAUUAUUGAAUUAUCAUGGUUAGGUUGUUGCUGGCUUUUAGGAGCAUGUGCACACCAACUCCAUUUUUAAUCCACCUGUGCACCUCUGCAUAAAUCUGAAGAACUUCUGGAGGAAACUCCGUUUUGGAACUGUUGUGCAAAACAAUUGUCAACUUUUCUUGGCUUCAGAUUUAUGUUUUAUUUUUAAACACGCAUCACUUAUGAAUGUAACUAUUGGCCCUGUGCCUUUAUAAACAAUUAUACAACUUUCAACAACGGAUCUCUUGGCUCUCGCAUCGAUGAAGAACGCAGCGAAAUGCGAUAAGUAAUGUGAAUUGCAGAAUUCAGUGAAUCAUCGAAUCUUUGAACGCACCUUGCGCUCCUUGGUAUUCCGAGGAGCAUGCCUGUUUGAGUGUCAUGAAAUUCUCAACCUUUCCUAGUAAUAAGGGUUAGGCUUGGAUCAUGGAAGUUGCUGAUUUUGUUCAAGUCAGCUCUUCUAAAAUACAUUUGCAAAGUUCUUUACUCAUUAUCUUUGAUAUGAUAACUAUCUAUAUCAUUGAUAAUAUAAGUAGUUCCUACAUGGAAGUUCUUUGUUUUUAAUGUUCCCAUGGAACAACUUGACAACUUUUGACCUCAAAUCAGGUAGA